UUAAGCGACUAAGCGUACACGGUGGAUGCCCUGGCAGUCAGAGGCGAUGAAGGACGUGCUAAUCUGCGAUAAGCGUCGGUAAGGUGAUAUGAACCGUUAUAACCGGCGAUUUCCGAAUGGGGAAACCCAGUGUGUUUCGACACACUAUCAUUAACUGAAUCCAUAGGUUAAUGAGGCGAACCGGGGGAACUGAAACAUCUAAGUACCCCGAGGAAAAGAAAUCAACCGAGAUCCCCAGUAGCGGCGAGCGAACGGGGAGCAGCCCAGAGCCUGAAUCAGUGUGUGUGUUAGUGGAAGCGUCUGGAAAGGCGCGCGAUACAGGGUGACAGCCCCGUACACAAAAAUGCACAUGCUGUGAGCUCGAUGAGUAGGGCGGGACACGUGGUAUCCUGUCUGAAUAUGGGGGGACCAUCCUCCAAGGCUAAAUACUCCUGACUGACCGAUAGUGAACCAGUACCGUGAGGGAAAGGCGAAAAGAACCCCGGCGAGGGGAGUGAAAAAGAACCUGAAACCGUGUACGUACAAGCAGUGGGAGCACAGAGCAAUCUGUGUGACUGCGUACCUUUUGUAUAAUGGGUCAGCGACUUAUAUUCUGUAGCAAGGUUAACCGAAUAGGGGAGCCGAAGGGAAACCGAGUCUUAACUGGGCGUUAAGUUGCAGGGUAUAGACCCGAAACCCGGUGAUCUAGCCAUGGGCAGGUUGAAGGUUGGGUAACACUAACUGGAGGACCGAACCGACUAAUGUUGAAAAAUUAGCGGAUGACUUGUGGCUGGGGGUGAAAGGCCAAUCAAACCGGGAGAUAGCUGGUUCUCCCCGAAAGCUAUUUAGGUAGCGCCUCGUGAAUUCAUCUCCGGGGGUAGAGCACUGUUUCGGCAAGGGGGUCAUCCCGACUUACCAACCCGAUGCAAACUGCGAAUACCGGAGAAUGUUAUCACGGGAGACACACGGCGGGUGCUAACGUCCGUCGUGAAGAGGGAAACAACCCAGACCGCCAGCUAAGGUCCCAAAGUCAUGGUUAAGUGGGAAACGAUGUGGGAAGGCCCAGACAGCCAGGAUGUUGGCUUAGAAGCAGCCAUCAUUUAAAGAAAGCGUAAUAGCUCACUGGUCGAGUCGGCCUGCGCGGAAGAUGUAACGGGGCUAAACCAUGCACCGAAGCUGCGGCAGCGACGCUUAUGCGUUGUUGGGUAGGGGAGCGUUCUGUAAGCCUGCGAAGGUGUGCUGUGAGGCAUGCUGGAGGUAUCAGAAGUGCGAAUGCUGACAUAAGUAACGAUAAAGCGGGUGAAAAGCCCGCUCGCCGGAAGACCAAGGGUUCCUGUCCAACGUUAAUCGGGGCAGGGUGAGUCGACCCCUAAGGCGAGGCCGAAAGGCGUAGUCGAUGGGAAACAGGUUAAUAUUCCUGUACUUGGUGUUACUGCGAAGGGGGGACGGAGAAGGCUAUGUUGGCCGGGCGACGGUUGCCCGGUUUAAGCGUGUAGGCUGGUUUUCCAGGCAAAUCCGGAAAAUCAAGGCUGAGGCGUGAUGACGAGGCACUACGGUGCUGAAGCAACAAAUGCCCUGCUUCCAGGAAAAGCCUCUAAGCAUCAGGUAACAUCAAAUCGUACCCCAAACCGACACAGGUGGUCAGGUAGAGAAUACCAAGGCGCUUGAGAGAACUCGGGUGAAGGAACUAGGCAAAAUGGUGCCGUAACUUCGGGAGAAGGCACGCUGAUAUGUAGGUGAAGUCCCUCGCGGAUGGAGCUGAAAUCAGUCGAAGAUACCAGCUGGCUGCAACUGUUUAUUAAAAACACAGCACUGUGCAAACACGAAAGUGGACGUAUACGGUGUGACGCCUGCCCGGUGCCGGAAGGUUAAUUGAUGGGGUUAGCGCAAGCGAAGCUCUUGAUCGAAGCCCCGGUAAACGGCGGCCGUAACUAUAACGGUCCUAAGGUAGCGAAAUUCCUUGUCGGGUAAGUUCCGACCUGCACGAAUGGCGUAAUGAUGGCCAGGCUGUCUCCACCCGAGACUCAGUGAAAUUGAACUCGCUGUGAAGAUGCAGUGUACCCGCGGCAAGACGGAAAGACCCCGUGAACCUUUACUAUAGCUUGACACUGAACAUUGAGCCUUGAUGUGUAGGAUAGGUGGGAGGCUUUGAAGUGUGGACGCCAGUCUGCAUGGAGCCGACCUUGAAAUACCACCCUUUAAUGUUUGAUGUUCUAACGUGGACCCGUAAUCCGGGUUGCGGACAGUGUCUGGUGGGUAGUUUGACUGGGGCGGUCUCCUCCUAAAGAGUAACGGAGGAGCACGAAGGUUGGCUAAUCCUGGUCGGACAUCAGGAGGUUAGUGCAAUGGCAUAAGCCAGCUUGACUGCGAGCGUGACGGCGCGAGCAGGUGCGAAAGCAGGUCAUAGUGAUCCGGUGGUUCUGAAUGGAAGGGCCAUCGCUCAACGGAUAAAAGGUACUCCGGGGAUAACAGGCUGAUACCGCCCAAGAGUUCAUAUCGACGGCGGUGUUUGGCACCUCGAUGUCGGCUCAUCACAUCCUGGGGCUGAAGUAGGUCCCAAGGGUAUGGCUGUUCGCCAUUUAAAGUGGUACGCGAGCUGGGUUUAGAACGUCGUGAGACAGUUCGGUCCCUAUCUGCCGUGGGCGCUGGAGAAUUGAGGGGGGCUGCUCCUAGUACGAGAGGACCGGAGUGGACGCAUCACUGGUGUUCGGGUUGUCAUGCCAAUGGCACUGCCCGGUAGCUAAAUGCGGAAGAGAUAAGUGCUGAAAGCAUCUAAGCACGAAACUUGCCCCGAGAUGAGUUCUCCCUGACUCCUUGAGAGUCCUGAAGGAACGUUGAAGACGACGACGUUGAUAGGCCGGGUGUGUAAGCGCAGCGAUGCGUUGAGCUAACCGGUACUAAUGAACCGUGAGGCUUAACCUU
rnacentral:rRNA from 1 species